GCCGCGCUCAGGCCCGGCCCGCUGCUUCCUCCCGGCGCCUAGGCCCUGCCCAGGCGGUCGCAGCCUCGGUUUCCUCUCCCCAGAGAUGAAGGUGAUCGCGACGCCCAGGCCCCGAAGCAGGAGGGCUGCCGGACACCGGGAAGCCACCAGGACGGUCCUCCCGUAAAAUGCCUGGAAUGGACACACCAUGCUGGGAGCCACAGCAGCGACCCUGGCGCGUGAGGCUAGGCAGAGGACAGAGGCCGGCACCGACAAGUAGAGUCAGAUGUUAAAGACAGAAGGCAGUAGGCUCCCCUUCACUGCAGAAUGCCUGUAUGCAAACUAUACACUGCAGACGCUGUCUUGUUUAAAACGCUUAGGAAAUCCCUAUGUUUUGUUGAAGGCUCACUGUGCUGCUUGGCUGAAGUUUAGUGGUAUUAUCCAUCCUUUCACCAGUUACUGCGGCUGGGAGGCUGAGAGAUGGCUCUCAGGUCACUCUCCGCAGUCAAGAGGCAUCCUUGAGGUCAACGCUGCAGAAACUCAUGGAUACGAUGGAGUGGGCUAGCCUGGAUGCUAGGAGAACCUGCCCAUGGUCUCCCACUUCCCUUUGUCUGAUCUUAGUCUCUUGGAUGGACUCCUGAGUAUGAUGAGGAGCCCAAAGAAGAGCUUCAAUGUGACAGAGUUUUGAUUUUUCUCCAUUCAAAGAAGAACGCAGUUCAAGGCCAGCUGGGAAAUUCCUCCUCCUUAAAGGCUCAGUCUCUUUUUUGCUUCAACAGCUGCGUUCAAGGUCAUCAUAGCACAAGGUGGCUUCUGGAGUUUCAUAGUCCAGACAGGAAGUAGGAAGGGUAAAGGUCACUUGUCCCAGUGAGUGACACCCCCCUUUUUAAAAAUGGAACCAUUGAGUUCAUUGUCCAAACUUGAACAUUGGAUGAGUUAGGAAGAGGAUGCUUUUAGCAAUUAUUCACCAGGGCAACAGGUAAAAAACAGGAAAUGCUCCAGACAAAUUGGGACAAAUCAUCCUGGCACUGGUACUGAAAAUCCUACUCAGAAGGCUCUUCUAGUGCACAGCAACUUCUACAUAAGUCACUGCAAAAUAAAUUUGGGGGUUUCUCUCUUCCUGAGUGCAUUACUAAGUCCGAUAAAAACCUGGGUUUGUGAGCAAGACAGGAAGAGAAGGAGAUGGCUGUGGAGUCGUUCAUUAGCAACUUUGGUCACCAGCCCUGAAUCAGCACUGUUUGUGACCUGAAUUUCACAGUUUUUAUGAAAUGCCUCCUUUUGACUCUGGGCUCUCACUCUUCCUUCCAAAGGCACUCAAAAUAAUGUGUGAACCAUGGCCAGGGCCAAAGCCAUCUUGGUCGUCAUCUUUCCUCUCUCCUUCAUUUUCCAGCAUCUUCCACCGGCUAGGAGUCAUAAGAUCCCCGGGAAGUCGCCUGAGAAAUCUGUGUCCCAGGCAGAAUUAUCUCUUGAGGAUAAACUCUCAGAUGUGCUGUGAGGAACCCAACAGGAAUAAAAGACACUCCUAUCACUAGGGAAAUUUUAAAUGUUCAGAGGUUACCUCCCAGAAGAAGACAAAGCUCAAAUUUCUUUGCAGGUGAGGUCAAAGUCCUUAUUACAAACGCUGUAAACAUAGAUGAGAAAUCAUUCACUAAAAUAUCAGAAAUGUUUCAAGCAUAGUAUAAGUAAAAUGUCUAACAUGAUGCAUGUUACUGCAGCUGGUUUUACAAGGCAACCCCGAUAUGAAAUAGGUUGCCAGGCUGUGGGUCCUCACCGGUGCACUUAAAGGGACUUACACGAAGACCCAAC